ACUGUGUGUAAAGCGUAUGUACCUCAUGUGAUUAUUCCUCGGCAUAUAUAAGUGAAAUGUUCAAUAGUUUUCUAUUUGCAUGAAAACGUGUAAUAUGUGUGAGUAUCAGUAUUUAAUGCUAUAUUAAGCACCGAAGCCGAUGCUCACUUGUUGGUAGUGUGGGGUUAACCUGCUAGUCGCCUUCGGGCAUCAUUCACGGCCAAGUCGCGCUCAGACAAAGACGGGCAGGAUAGUGACCAAGUUCUUACGGUCAUGCCUACCUCAUCAAUAAACGUCAGAGAGAGAACUGCCUUUCCUCGACCCUACGAUGAUGGAUGUGAUCAGUAAAACAGAUCACCUGAGAGCCAAUUGAUGCCCAGCCGGUGCGGCUACAGCAAGAACUCGACCUACAAGCAAGAAAUUGGCUCCAUGUGAAACCGUAGCAAGAGUGAGUCACAGGACGAGGGGACGCUGACGUAAGCCUAUAGGUUGACCUCUGAGGCCCCGGGGUCAGCUCUACCCUUGACGACAACCACUCCCUUCUACCCACUGUGCUUCGCCACCAUUUUGUAGAACCCAUGGUCACAGGCAAGAAAGUAUAAUAGAGACAUGCAUUGGAGAACCCGGGUAAUCAUCUCUGUGGCAUUUGAAAUAAAAGUGGCGGUCUGAUCUCUCGUACGGGACUGUUCGCCAGCCAUGGCCCAUGCUGAGGAGGGCCAUGAGGUGGUGGAGAGACUCAGACCAGCUGUUAAGAAGCUGUGAGUGCUCUGGGGUGGUGCCAAAGUUGACCACUCCUUCCAGCCUGUCCAUGCGAGCCACCACAGUCCCUGACACCACCAGCUGACACAGGAACUCCUCGCUCUCCUGAAAUCCCACGUGUUAAUUUUGAAAUGUGAAGCAAAAAUUAUAAUUUUGGAGGCUUGUUUCAGGAUUAAUAGGGUAUGGAAUAAUUAUUCUGGUUAUUGUUAAAAUGACAUGGGUUUAGUUGCAUGGCUCCAGUAUGACAGAAUAUAAUGGGUAAGCACACAGGGACUUUUAAAAAAAGUACCUGAUCUUAAGCCAAGGGACAAAAACAGACUUUGCUUACUUUUUGUGUUGUAACUUUAAUGUACUUCAAAGUGUGCCCUUAUGACUACACAUUGUGUCCUUCUGUUCCUUGUUGGAAACAUUUUACAUCCUGUUCCAGAAAGACACCCAGAUGAGAUGUUGCAUUCUGCAUGAUUACUUCUGGUUUUCAAAGGCACCAGCAGGAUCUUUAUCUUGGGGAACACCCAUAAGUCACAAGGAGACACAUCAGGAGAGAGCAGGGAGCUUGGUAAACCUACAGAAUUCAGUGGUUGGUCAACAAAUCUUGAAUGAGGUGCACACAAUGGCCCACUGUGUUGUCUUUUAUCAGGCAACUAACAGUCCAUUCUUUGCACUUUAUCAUUCACAAUUUCUUGGCCAUGCACCAAAUUUCCCAGGUAUGCUAAGCUUCUUACUCUCCCAACAUGUACCCUUGUGAUUUCUAGCUGUUCCUUAAGAUGAAAUUGUUGGUGAUGUCUUUCAGAACCGUAUUACAUUAUGUGGAAUAAAAACACACCUGGAAGUCCUUCUGGAACAGGAUGUAAUGAAAACUGUUUACAGCAAUGGACAGACUGCUGGACUAAGUGUGUGGACUUACUUUGAGGGACAUCAAUGCUAGAACCCAAAAAGGGAAGAGCCAUUACUCUUUAGUCAGAGAGAGAGAGAGAGAGAGGGAAAGGGUACACACAUAAAGCAAUGUUUCAAAUGCACUGUACUGCUGCUUCCUUCAUUCUCAGAAAGCUGUGCCUCGUCAUCUAGGUGUAGCAAAUUAAUGUGACAAUUUACAACACCCCUAUGGCCCGGGUUUUGCCUGGAUACUACUUUUGAUGAGCGAAAUUUAAUGAGUGUGACAGGUAUAGCAUUAUGAUUUGGGCUCUGCAUGCAUUUUCAGUCAAUUGAACAUUACAUUGUGACACAUUAAUGUAGUACGGAGGAACAGAGCACCCCUGUCUGAUGACUGCAUGACACUGUUAGGAGGGUGAGGAGUGCCCAGAAGUGUUGUGAGCUGGCUGAAAAGGAUACACUAUUCAGCCUGGCACUUAAAGCUUUACCCUUGAGUUAAUAAGCAUUUCUCUGCUCUAUAACCUGUAAAGAUCUUGUCAGUUGUGCUCUAUAACUCUAGUAAACUCUGGAACUCCCUGCCUGCUUCUGUAUUUCCACUUUCCUAUGACUUGAAUUCCUUCAAGAGGGAGGUUUCAAGACACUUAUUCAUCAAUUUUUGACCACUGCUUUGACCCUUUUAUGGGACUGCCAUUUCAGUGGGCAUAUUUUUUAUUGGAUUUUUGUUGCCCUUGGCCAGUGUCCUUCCUACAAGAAAAAAAAAAAAAAAAAAAAAAAAAAAAAAAAAAAAAAAAAAAACCUUGUCAGUUUUUUGUGUGCCAGGCCUUAUCAAUUAAAAAAAUGAGGUAUUACUGGCCACAUCUUGCACCUUGUCUAACCCAACUGACAACACUUUCUUCAUGCACUUCUCAUGUAAAAAUAUUUGUGGCAUCAGCAGCAUCACAUAAGCUACAGGUGAGAGUGAUCUACUCAUCUGUAGGGUUGUGGCAUAUUAACCAUUACUGCAAUAACAAAACCAUGUCACAGAGUAAUGCUGAAUUAUGAAUAGAUAAAACAUGCAUAGACAGCAAAAUGUGACAAUAUUUUUCACACUCUAAUAAACAUUCAUCUAUACAUUGUACUCAGGCAAAAAUCCAGUCUAUAGGUGAGGUUCUUGAUGCCAAAAAAUCAGAUUAUUUCACCACAGAUGGAUAGGAACACUUCCUCAGAACUGGAAGAAGCUAUCCAAUGCAUUAUGGUGCUACCUUCAUUGACAUCCCUUGUACUGCAAGAGGAUAUCUGUGGGUCUGUCGGCUGCAAGAGAAUGUGCAUAUACAGUCAGUGUCACAUGUGAUUGGAACUCCUGACAACAUGAACGUCACAUAGCACAAACUGACAACUUGCUCCUCGUUCUGAAAAAAAUCUGCUGGGGGAAAA